rnacentral:rRNA from 1 species
AAUCAACGCUGGCGGCAUGCCUUACACAUGCAAGUCGAACGGCAGCACGGGGGCAACCCUGGUGGCGAGUGGCGAACGGGUGAGUAAUGCAUCGGAACGUGCCCCGUAGCGGGGGAUAACCAGUCGAAAGACUGGCUAAUACCGCAUACGCUCCACGGAGGAAAGCAGGGGAUCGCAAGACCUUGCACUAUGGGAGCGGCCGAUGCCCGAUUAGCUAGUUGGUGAGGUAAAGGCUCACCAAGGCGACGAUCGGUAGCUGGUUUGAGAGAACGACCAGCCACACUGGGACUGAGACACGGCCCAGACUCCUACGGGAGGCAGCAGUGGGGAAUUUUGGACAAUGGGCGCAAGCCUGAUCCAGCCAUGCCGCGUGC